rnacentral:rRNA from 1 species
CACAUGCAAGUCGAGCGGAAAGGCCCUUUCGGGGGUACUCGAGCGGCGAACGGGUGAGUAACACGUGAGUAAUCUGCCCUUGGCUUCGGGAUAGCCACCGGAAACGGUGAUUAAUACCGGAUACGACACAUCACUGCAUGGUGCGUGUGUGGAAAGUUUUUUCGGCCAGGGAUGUGCUCGCGGCCUAUCAGCUUGUUGGUGGGGUAAUGGCCUACCAAGGCUUCGACGGGUAGCCGGCCUGAGAGGGUGACCGGCCACACUGGGACUGAGACACGGCCCAGACUCCUACGGGAGGCAGCAGUGGGGAAUAUUGGACAAUGGGCGGAAGCCUGAUCCAGCAACGCCGCGUGAGGGAUGACGGGCCUUCGGGUUGUAAACCUCUUUCAGCACAGACGAAGCGCAAGUGACGGUAUGUGCAGAAGAAGGACCGGCCAACUACGUGCCAGCAGCCGCGGUAAUACGUAGGGUCCGAGCGUUGUCCGGAAUUAUUGGGCGUAAAGGGCUCGUAGGCGGUUUGUCGCGUCGGGAGUGAAAACACCGGGCUUAACUCGGUGCUUGCUUUCGAUACGGGCAGACUAGAGGUAUUCAGGGGAGAACGGAAUUCCUGGUGUAGCGGUGAAAUGCGCAGAUAUCAGGA